rnacentral:rRNA from 1 species
GAUGAACGCUAGCUACAGGCUUAACACAUGCAAGUCGAGGGGAAACGACAUUGAAGCUUGCUUCGAUGGUCGUCGACCGGCGCACGGGUGAGUAACGCGUAUCCAACCUGCCUCUGACCAAGGGAUAACCCGUCGAAAGUCGGCCUAAUACCUUAUGCAGUCGUCGGAAGUCAUCUGAUGACGACGAAAGAUUUCAUCGGUGAGAGAUGGGGAUGCGUCUGAUUAGCUUGUUGGCGGGGUAACGGCCCACCAAGGCAACGAUCAGUAGGGGUUCUGAGAGGAAGGUCCCCCACAUUGGAACUGAGACACGGCCCAAACUCCUACGGGAGGCAGCAGUGAGGAAUAUUGGUCAAUGGGCGAGAGCCUGAACCAGCCAAGUAGCGUGCAGGAUGACGGCCCUAUGGGUUGUAAACUGCUUUUAUGCGGGGAUAAAGUGAGGGACGUGUCCUUCAUUGCAGGUACCGCAUGAAUAAGGACCGGCUAAUUCCGUG